rnacentral:rRNA from 1 species
UACAGAGGGUGCAAGCGUUGUUCGGAAUCAUUGGGCGUAAAGAGCGCGCAGGCGGUCGUUCAAGUCGGGUGUGAAAGCCCCCGGCUCAACUGGGGAGGGUCACUCGAUACUGAUCGACUCGAAGGCAGGAGAGGGAAGUGGAAUUCCCGGUGUAGUGGUGAAAUGCGUAGAUAUCGGGAGGAACACCAGUGGCGAAGGCGACUUCCUGGCCUGUUCUUGACGCUGAGGCGCGAAAGCUAGGGGAGCAAACGGG